GAUUGCGAUAACAUCCGAUAGGUUCAGAA
rnacentral:sRNA from 1 species